rnacentral:rRNA from 1 species
CCUACGGGAGGCAGCAGUGAGGAAUAUUGGUCAAUGGGCGAGAGUCUGAACCAGCCAAGCCGCGUGAAGGAUGACUGUCCUGCGUGUUGUAAACCUCUUUUAUCAGGGAAUAAAGGGAGGGACUAGUGCCCUUUUGCGUGUACUUGAAGAAUAAGGAUCGGCUAACUCCGUGCCAGCAGCCGCGGUAAUACGGAGGAUGCGAGCGUUAUCCGGAUUUAUUGGGUUUAAAGGGUGCGCAGAUGGGCUGUUAAGUCAGUUGUUAAAGUUGGCGGCUCAACCGUAAAAUAGCAGUUGAGACUGGCAGGCUGGAGUACAGGAGAAGUAGGCGGAAUUCGUGGUGUAGCGGUGAAAUGCUUAGAUAUCACGAAGAACCCCGAUUGCGAAGGCAGCUUACCAACCUGAGACUGACGCUGAGGCUCGAAAGUGUGGGUAUCGAACAGGAUUAGAUACCCCUGUAGUC